UGGGAAUUUGGACGAAUUGGGCGAAAGCCUGAUCCAGCAAUGCCGCGUGUGUGAAGAAGGCCUUCGGGUUGUAAAGCACUUUUGUCCGGAAAGAAAUCCUUGGCUCUAAUACAGUCGGGGGAUGACGGUACCGGAAGAAUAAGCACCGGCUAACUACGUGCCAGCAGCCGCGGUAAUACGUAGGGUGCAAGCGUUAAUCGGAAUUACUGGGCGUAAAGCGUGCGCAGGCGGUUUGCUAAGACCGAUGUGAAAUCCCCGGGCUCAACCUGGGAACUGCAUUGGUGACUGGCAGGCUAGAGUAUGGCAGAGGGGGGUAGAAUUCCACGUGUAGCAGUGAAAAUGCGUAGAGAUGUGGAGGAAUACCGAUGGCGAAGGCAGCCCCCUGGG
rnacentral:rRNA from 1 species